rnacentral:rRNA from 1 species
ACGCUAGCUACAGGCUUAACACAUGCAAGUCGAGGGGAAACGGCAUUAAGUGCUUGCACUUUUUGGACGUCGACCGGCGCACGGGUGAGUAACGCGUAUCCAACCUUCCCAUGACUAAGGGAUAACCUGCCGAAAGGCAGACUAAUACCUUAUGGUCUUCACUGACGGCAUCAGAUGUGAAGUAAAGAUUUAUCGGUUAUGGAUGGGGAUGCGUCUGAUUAGUUAGUUGGCGGGGUAACGGCCCACCAAGGCAACGAUCAGUAGGGGUUCUGAGAGGAAGGUCCCCCACAUUGGAACUGAGACACGGUCCAAACUCCUACGGGAGGCAGCAGUGAGGAAUAUUGGUCAAUGGGCGAGAGCCUGAACCAGCCAAGUAGCGUGCAGGAUGACGGCCCUAUGGGUUGUAAACUGCUUUUGUAUGGGGAUAAAGUCAAUCACGUGUGAUUGUUUGCAGGUACCAUACGAAUAAGGACCGGCUAAUUCCGUGCCAGCAGCCGCGGUAAUACGGAAGGUCCGGGCGUUAUCCGGAUUUAUUGGGUUUAAAGGGAGCGUAGGCUGGAGAUUAAGUGUGUUGUGAAAUGUAGACGCUCAACGUCUGACUUGCAGCGCAUACUGGUUUCCUUGAGUACGCACAACGUUGGCGGAAUUCGUCGUGUAGCGGUGAAAUGCUUAGAUAUGACGAAGAACUCCGAUUGCGAAGGCAGCUGACGGGAGCGCAACUGACGCUGAAGCUCGAAGGUGCGGGUAUCGAACAGGAUUAGAUACCCUGGUAGUCCGCACAGUAAACGAUGGAUGCCCGCUGUCGGUACGUGGUAUGAGCGGCUAAGCGAAAGCAUUAAGCAUCCCACCUGGGGAGUACGCCGGCAACGGUGAAACUCAAAGGAAUUGACGGGGGCCCGCACAAGCGGAGGAACAUGUGG